rnacentral:rRNA from 1 species
AGCGUUGCUCGGAAUUACUGGGCGUAAAGCGCACGUAGGCGGCUUUCUAAGUCGGGGGUGAAAUCCUGGAGCUCAACUCCAGAACUGCCUUCGAUACUGGAGAGCUUGAGUCCGGGAGAGGUGAGUGGAACUGCGAGUGUAGAGGUGAAAUUCGUAGAUAUUCGCAAGAACACCAGUGGCGAAGGCGGCUCACUGGCCCGGUACUGACGCUGAGGUGCGAAAGCGUGGGGAGCAAACAGG